CUUACAUUUAAGAGUCCCAGCAAAUUUAGUGAGUCUUCCAACAAAUAUUGCAGGCUUAGGUUUAAUUAUAUCUUUCUUUUUGAAUUUCAGUCGGGGUGGUGAGGGUGGCCCAGAUGUUACAAAAAAUGCUCCAUUCAUGAACCGGUCUCCUUCUGAUCUCCAUACCCAAUGCCUCCAUUCUGACUCUGAUGCAUAGUUCCUAUUGGUUAUCUAUAGAAAUCCAUUAAACAAAGACAAUUUAGGGGUAUAACCAUAGGUACAUUUCCAGUCACAUUGUGCAUACUACGAUUACAAAAUUAGUAAAUGUUAUUGAUUAAUUUGUUUUAUUUUCAUUUACCUGUUUAGUUAGGGGGUCAUCUGGAGCAAUGAACCUAUUGCCUUGGCUAAUAAUGGUGGGAUGUGUGCUACCACCAAUGGCAUACAAUUUCCAAUGAGUGUAGUCAUUGUUGACGACAUGAAAGUAUCCCCAUCUGCAUCUAGGCAUUCUUUGUAUCAAUUCCUUGCCAAAAUGGUUGAAUGCAAGUGUGACUUGCAUAAAUUGAUCUUUAGAAUAGGUAUCACUUGCACCUAACAAGAUCACCUGAAAGAAAAAUCCAAGAAUGUUUAGUUGAAAACUAGGUUACAAAAUGUGUACCAUGUUGAGUAUUUUAAGGUAAAACUUACAUGAUCAUGAUGGGUGAAAUGGCAAUUUGAGAUGGUGAUGGCAGUGGAACCUUGUAUUGCAUCGAUGAGUCCGUCUUGACACUCAGACAUGGAAAUAUGAUCAAGCCAAAUCUUUGAUGAUCCAAAUAUGGAAAUCCCAUCUCCAUCGCCGACUGUGCGAAAACCAUAAUGAUCUUCAGAGUCCCUAAUUAGGCCACCACUACUUCUAACAACGCGAUGAAUGUGAAUAUUAUGAAUUAUGACAUUGUGCACAAAUUGAAGUGUAAUGCCACAUCCAUAUGCUAUAUGAACAUUUGCUCCACGACCAUCAAUUGUCUUAUGGCUUUGAACCAUCAGCUCUUGUGAUAAUUUAAUGUUCAUAUCAUGGGCAAAAAUUAUCCAUAAUGGCCUCUUUUGAAUCACAGCAUGACGUAAAGUUCCUGGUUUAGGGUUUACGACAUCAUCAUCAGAAUUAUCGUUAACCAAAUAGUAUCCUCCCUUACUCCCUCCACGAGUUUUGUGGCCAAAACCAAGGACACACUUUGCUAGUCUUUUGCGAUUCUUAGCCCAGUUCUUCUUGCAUCUCCAACACCUAUCAAUUGGAUUAACCGCCAUGCAUGGACCAGUGUAUUUCUUAUGUUUACCCCUCAAGUAUCUUCUCGUGCUAUUAGUAAUAACAUCCUUAAAUUCUAAGACUUGGUUGGACAUAGGUUUUUCAAGAACCCUGCAACAAAUUAUCCACAAGUUAUCUCAGAUAAUAUAUAAUGCCUGCAUUUAACAUACAAAUUAAGAAAGUUUUAGGAGAUGGUAACUUGUCAAGGGAACUAACAUUGGAACCUUUGACUUUGAUCCAUCUAAAUAGUGACAUUUUUAUCAUUAAGCUAAAGGCCUAUGAUUAUUACAACUCAAUAACAUUAUGAGUUAAUGGUCCAAAAUACAAAUAUGAUAGAUUGCUAAUAUAACACAGACAAUCAUCGAAACAAGAGUAACAAAGAGAUUGGCUUAGUUAGUUCGUGUAGAUAUUUUUAAUUUGUUACAUUCAAUGGGUUUAUAUUUCAAAUUUCAAUAUAUAUAAUUUCUUUUCUUAUGUUUAAUUUAUAAACAUUUUUUAUAUAAAAAAAAAAGAGAAAAGAGAGAUAAAAUAGAAAGUUAUAAUUUACUUGUUAACAUGAUAGUUCAGGUGACAGGUGACAUUUUCUGGGCUCGGUUCAUAAGCUGCUAGAGCAAUCUUCCAGGCUUCUUCUUCACGUUGCUUCCAAAAAUCAUCAAAUUCAGCAAUAUUUGCCCAUAACUUUGGAAUUAGGGUGAAAAAAGAAAAAAGGAAAACAACCCUUAGCUUAGUUACCUCCAUUAUUGUUCUCCUUCUAUAUGUUUCUCCUUUUUAGGGUAUUUUCUUGAUUUAAUUAUUUAGGUAAUAUGGUAAGCCCUAGGUUUUAAAGCUUAAUAAUAUAUAAAAAAGUGCUAAAACCUAAAUAUCUAGUACUCUAAAUUGCCGACUUUGGUCGGCUAAAGCCUUGAUUUUGAUAAGCCCUGAGUUUACCCUUAAAUAAACCAUCCAUGUAACUGUAUGGUUCUUAAAUUAAGGUGCAUUGAAUGGUAAGCAUUCUCAUUACAAAGUUAGCAACCAAAAUUUUCUCUACAAAACCAAAACUUGUUCAACCCGCAUUUUUAUGCAUGGAAAUCUUAGGUUGGCUUACUUAAUUUAUCUUCUUAAUUGCAUUAAUGUCGCCAAUUGGCAAAACUUUUAGCCAUUUUGAGCACCAAAAUCUAACUGUCAUUUUGAACAAAAAAAAAUUCAACAAUCCACUGACAAAUUACACUACUGUCAACAAAAAGUAUAUCAUUAUUCCACAUCAUACCACUGUUUGUAUCUUCUUUGCAUAAGCUUCAAAAUCCCAAAACAAAACACUAAAUCUAUUAAGUAACAAUGGGGCAUGACCAAAGUUCCUAUGCAUAAUUAUAUUUCAUUGGUUACUCGAACUUAGUAAUCAAUGUCUGAUAUGAAUUUGUAUUUGUCAUGAAAAUGUGCUAUUCUUUUAAGACUUCCAUUUCUUGUAGAGCCUUUGAAGGAUGAUAUCAUCAUAAUAUGUGUGAAAAUGUGCAAGAUGCAUACAUUGAAUAUUGGGUACUUCAAGAAAGGUAAAGAGCCAAAGCAGUAUAGCUAAAUAUUGUUGACAAUUUUGACAAAAAGUUAGAACUAUAGUUCAUAUGUUUAUGAACUUCUCUUAUAUUAAAGAGCUAUAUUUUUAUUUUUUGUUUAGUACACAAAAAACACACACCAAUAUUAAGGGAAUUAAUUGUUGUAAAAUGGAAAUUUUACCUUUUACUAAUCCUUGAUUAUUGUGAGUAUUAAACUUUCUCUAUUCUUUAUUCUUCUAAUCAAAUAAAUUAUAGGGAGUAGUAUUAAUUGUAUCAAUAUCUAAACAUAGAUAAAAACUGCUAGUUCUUUUUUUUUACCUGUGCAUUGUUUUCAAAAUGGAUAAUGUUUUUCCAAAGGGGCACAAACGAUUUUUCCAGUCUCCAUAAAAAAAUGUUAGUGAAUCUUUACAAGGUCAGGUGCGAAAGAUUAAGCUCAACAGAGGAGACCAAGCACACACCUGUCGAAGAAGGCUCCAUCAACACCAACACCCGCCCCUGACGUCGCCGGUGGCGCGCAUCUCAUCUGGGGUUGACAAAAAUUUAGCGUCGCCUGAGAGAUUUGAACUCUCGCGGGAAAAUCCCAUGUACUUAGCAGGCACACGCCUUAACCACUCGGCCAAAGCGACACUGAUAUAUCAACUAAAAUUAAGAUUAAAAUUAUAAAUAAUUUUAAAUGCUCUACGUGUGGGAAGAAUAUAUGGUCAGUUAAUAUUCAGGCAAUAAUAUAAAUAUUUAGUUCAAAUAAUACAACCUUUCAACAUUCCAAUAUGAAUGUUAUAAGGCAAAUUUUUAAUGAAUAGACUAUUUUAGUUCAUCUAACGUAGAUAGGAUCGAAAUUUUCAAUUUUUUUUGAAAUAUUAUUUGAUAGUAUAAGGAUUAAAAUACAACUUGAAAUAUAGUAUAAGGAUUACUAUGCUAUUUUUUACAAUAAUAUUUACGUGUAUAUGGUAUUUUGCUUUAAUAAUAUUUGAUUUUUAAAUUUAAUUUGAUUAAAGAUGCAAUAAUACAAUCAUUCUUAUUAUGUGUUUAAACUUGCAAUAAUUUCGUCAUAUAUAUUCAAAGUGAGUCUUCCAACAAAUGUUGUAGGCUUAGCUUUAGAUUUUAUUUUUUUUUAUGAAUUUCAAAUGGGGAGGUGAGGGUGGCCCAAUUGUUCUAAAAAAUGCUUCAUUCAUGAACAGUUCUCCUUAUGAUCUCCAAUUCCUCCAUUCAUGAACAAAUGUUACGUUUGUAACAGUAGUGACCAAUUUAUCAUUUUUUGAAAGUUAAGUGAUUGAAUUGAAACUAGAGUGACUGUUUCGUCAGCUACAUCAAAGUUGAGUGACUAUUGGUGUAAUUUACCCUUUUAAAAAUUAGUCUAGAAAUUUUUACAUCUAAUGCAUUAAUUUUAUUAAAUUUAAGAAAAUUUAAUACAUUGGUUACAUUUAUAUAUAUAUCCUGCUAGUCCACACCAUACUCACAUUUUCAAAGGAGAUUUAAUUUUUUUGAUCCAUCAAAGGAAAACAAAUUAUUGUGAACUUUUGUAGAACUGAGAGUUAUUUCUAGCACUUAACUCCUUCCUUACAUUUAAGAGUUCCAGAGAAUCUAGUGAGUCUUCCAACAAAUGUUGCAGGCUUAGCUUUAAUUAUAUCCUUCUUUUUGAAUUUUAAAUGGGGAGGUGAGGGUGGCCCAGAUGUUACAAAAAAUGCUCCAUUCAUGAACAGAUCUCCUUCUGAUCUCCAUAUCCAAUUCCUCCAUUCUGACUCUGGUGCAUAGUUCCUAUGGGUUAUCU
rnacentral:lncRNA from 1 species